rnacentral:rRNA from 1 species
CACGGUGGAUGCCCUGGCAGUCAGAGGCGAUGAAGGACGUGCUAAUCUGCGAUAAGCGUCGGUAAGGUGAUAUGAACCGUUAUAACCGGCGAUUUCCGAAUGGGGAAACCCAGUGUGAUUCGUCACACUAUCAUUAACUGAAUCCAUAGGUUAAUGAGGCGAACCGGGGGAACUGAAACAUCUAAGUACCCCGAGGAAAAGAAAUCAACCGAGAUUCCCCCAGUAGCGGCGAGCGAACGGGGAGCAGCCCAGAGCCUGAAUCAGUGUGUGUGUUAGUGGAAGCGUCUGGAAAGGCGUGCGAUACAGGGUGACAGCCCCGUACACAAAAAUGCACAUACUGUGAGCUCGAUGAGUAGGGCGGGACACGUGGUAUCCUGUCUGAAUAUGGGGGGACCAUCCUCCAAGGCUAAAUACUCCUGACUGACCGAUAGUGAACCAGUACCGUGAGGGAAAGGCGAAAAGAACCCCGGCGAGGGGAGUGAAAAAGAACCUGAAACCGUGUACGUACAAGCAGUGGGAGCACGCUUAGGCGUGUGACUGCGUACCUUUUGUAUAAUGGGUCAGCGACUUAUAUUCUGUAGCAAGGUUAACCGAAUAGGGGAGCCGAAGGGAAACCGAGUCUUAACUGGGCGUUAAGUUGCAGGGUAUAGACCCGAAACCCGGUGAUCUAGCCAUGGGCAGGUUGAAGGUUGGGUAACACUAACUGGAGGACCGAACCGACUAAUGUUGAAAAAUUAGCGGAUGACUUGUGGCUGGGGGUGAAAGGCCAAUCAAACCGGGAGAUAGCUGGUUCUCCCCGAAAGCUAUUUAGGUAGCGCCUCGUGAAUUCAUCUCCGGGGGUAGAGCACUGUUUCGGCAAGGGGGUCAUCCCGACUUACCAACCCGAUGCAAACUGCGAAUACCGGAGAAUGUUAUCACGGGAGACACACGGCGGGUGCUAACGUCCGUCGUGAAGAGGGAAACAACCCAGACCGCCAGCUAAGGUCCCAAAGUCAUGGUUAAGUGGGAAACGAUGUGGGAAGGCCCAGACAGCCAGGAUGUUGGCUUAGAAGCAGCCAUCAUUUAAAGAAAGCGUAAUAGCUCACUGGUCGAGUCGGCCUGCGCGGAAGAUGUAACGGGGCUAAACCAUGCACCGAAGCUGCGGCAGCGACGCUUAUGCGUUGUUGGGUAGGGGAGCGUUCUGUAAGCCUGUGAAGGUGUGCUGUGAGGUAUGCUGGAGGUAUCAGAAGUGCGAAUGCUGACAUAAGUAACGAUAAAGCGGGUGAAAAGCCCGCUCGCCGGAAGACCAAGGGUUCCUGUCCAACGUUAAUCGGGG